rnacentral:rRNA from 1 species
UACGAAGGGGGCUAGCGUUGCUCGGAAUCACUGGGCGUAAAGCGCACGUAGGCGGACUCUUAAGUCGGGGGUGAAAGCCCAGGGCUCAACCCUGGAACUGCCUUCGAUACUGGGAGUCUUGAGUGUGGAAGAGGUUGGUGGAACUGCGAGUGUAGAGGUGAAAUUCGUAGAUAUUCGCAAGAACACCAGUGGCGAAGGCGGCCAACUGGUCCGAUACUGACGCUGAGGCGCGAAAGCGUGGGGAGCAAACAGG